CGACCAAAAAAAAAAAAAAAUCGCCACAAAAUCGGGAAAAAAAAACCCCUCCCUUUCCCUCCCCCUUGUCGCAAUCAAACCCUUCGACCUUUCCCGCUCUCCAUCGCCAACCCUAAAUCCACCGAAUCCACAUGCCCGGGUCCAAGAUCAAGAGGCAUAAACAAUGUAGUAUUCAACAAAUUUUUGAACAAAUGCUCAAUGAGCUUAGUGGCCCGGUUGAUUUUGAUCUUCCCUGCUCGCUGAAAGAAUGGAAGUCUACACAUUACGUACCCAUAAAGCGUAAUAUCUAUCUAACUAAAAGACGAAUUGAGGAUGAUGGCAUAUUCUGUUCCUGCACUUCAUCGAAAUCAACAAAUGGCUGUGAUGAAGAUUGUCAUUGUGGGAUGCUGUUCUCUACUUGUUCAUCUAGUUGCAAAUGCAGCAGUAACUGUGCCAAUAAACCAUUCCAGUACAGAGCUCCAAAGAAAAUGACGGUGGUGAAGACAGAGAAAUGUGGUUUUGGCUUGGUAGCAGAUGAAGGGAUAAAACAGGGUGAUUUUGUUAUAGAGUAUGUGGGAGAAGUAAUUGAUGAUAAAACUUGUGAGGAAAGACUCUGGAAUAUGAAGGGCCGUGGAAAUACCAACUUCUAUCUAUGUGAGGUCAGUCAUGAUAUGGUAAUUGAUGCAACAAAUAAAGGAAACAAGUCGAGAUUUAUAAAUCACAGUUGUGAGCCAAAUACUGAGAUGCAGAAAUGGAGAGUUUGUGGAGAAACUAGAGUUGGCAUCUUUGCUCUUCGAGACAUACAAAGAGGCGAGGAAGUGACCUACGAUUAUAAAUUUGUCCAGUUUGGAGCUGAUCAAAAUUGUUAUUGUGGAACUCUGAGCUGCCAGAAAAAGCUAGGCAACAAGCCCAGAGGUUCACAUCAAGCGCUUCUCGAUAAAAGAAAAACCCACUUUUCGAACUGUAUCGGGGAGCUUGUGCGUGUGUGGCAGCCGCGGGAUAAGAUGUACCUCGCUGGAUAUAUUUACGACUUCGAUAGCUACUCUAGAAAACAUACUAUAAUGUAUGUUGAUAGAAGUUCUGAGAUUAUUGAUCUAUCAAAGGAGGAUUGGGACUUCCUACCAUUAUGACUGGACUUAUGAGUGUUCUAAGUGGUGCUUCAGUGUAAUAGUAGCUCACAUUUCUCCAUUAUUAUCCUAACAGAAGUCAUAGCUCUGAGUCUGAGGAGAGCUAAGAAGUUUCUACUCAACCAAAGCCGACCACUCCCUGCUGAAAAGAUAAGAAAAAAACAACACCGAAAGAAGAGGGCGUAGAGAGAGAGAGAGAGAGAGAUGGGCAUUUGGCGUUAUGUGGCGUGGCCCAUGGAGGAAAGGAAGGUGCAGGAGGGGCCAUUGUAAUUGUUGCUGUUGUUGUUGUUGUUGUUGUUGUUGUUGUUGUUGUGGUGGUGGUGGUGGUGGUGGUGGUGGAGGGCCCCGCGCACGCGUGGGAGUUUCGCACGGGUGCGUGGGAAGAGUAGGAACCCUUUCAAAUUUGAGACCAGCAGUCCCUACCCCACAUCCCUAAGCUCAAAUGAAAAAUCUUUCUAUCACAGUUAUUUAUACAUUGUGCCAUGCAA